GCUGGCAAUCACAAAAUAAAAUCUACUAUGAAACGCUAAACAACAAAAGCCAAAAAGCUUCGUGAGAGAGCGAAAAAGGCAAAGAGAGCAAAAGAGAGAGCUAGCACCCACACAACCGCAUGCUCGAACAGCUGAGCGCGCUAUUUACUAACGUGUUUAAUUUGACACGUUAAGGAAAUACCUAUACAAUUGUACCUACAACCCGUACUUGACUUUCUAAAAACUGCAAAAAUCAUGAAUUCAUUUAUUUAAUCUCUUUAGGAACAGGUUUUUGCCCGAUCACAGGUUCAUUAGCUGCCGCACAACAUCCUUGACCUUGAGGAGAGUGUGCCAAUUUCCGCAAUUUCCGCAGCUAAAUGUUGACGGAAGCAACAGUGUCUCAAUUGAAUGCAGCGCUACCAAUACAAGAGCAGCAUCUCUAUAAAUAGCACGCCAAUGCAAGUUUUUUAGGAGUCACGCGACAAUAGUGAUGAGAAAUGGCUUAUUAAAACACAUACAAUUACACAAUUAUACAAAUAAUUUUAGCACCCCAACAGCUGGCGUACUACAGCUAGACAAUCUGCCAUCUCCAAUUCUAGUGUUGGUAAACGUUGUCCCGCCUACAUAUAUAGUUUAAAAAAGAUUAUGUUAACAUAAAUUAGAUUAAAGAUUUGUGCUGUACGAGCUAGAACCACUUUUAUAAAGUUAACAUUCACGACAGAAUUCGAAAUGUCUUAUAAAUAAUUAUAGAAGCCCAUGUAGAUGAUGGGUAAGUUACACGUAAAUAUUUUGAGUAGUUCCAAAAACAACCGCCAGGCGAACCUCUCUUUAAAUGAUAGUACAAAUAUGUAAAAAUAAAAUGAAGAGCUAUUUAUUCCCACACUCCUCAAGGUUAUCAAGUAAAACAUGCACCAUAUCACCCAACUAAAUCUUAAUAAUUUAAAGUAUCCUAUACUGUAUACAGAACACUAGCGAAACUGAUGCCUUGCAGAUGAGUAAUUAACAUAAUUUGAUCCCUCAAUUGAGGGAAACGCCCAGUCCCUUCUGUUGCAAUCCGAAUUGGAUGUUCGGUCUGAUUGUUUACAAAUAUUUACUCGAUCUGUUGCCAUGUGAAAGCCGAUUUUUCAGCUGCCCUGCCAGGUAGACGGGCAAUUGCGCAUUAAUGGGAAACGUGCUCAAGUGACGCACUAGCUUAAAUAAACGCUAAUUAUUAGCAGCUCGGCCGACGGACAACUCGAAUGGCUGGUCUUGAAACGCGACACACUUGUGCUUAUAAAAUUCCGCUUAACUUAUCUGCCUGGAAACAAAAUGAUGAGUGGCCUGUUGCUUUUAUCGUUUUCAUGUUAGAAAUGUAUACAUAUGUAAUUUCAAUUACAAAUCAGAAGCGUAAAUAUUUAAAUAAUUUCAUAUAAAUCAAAUAGGUCUACAUUCUUUUUGAAAUCUGUUUCUCAUUCCUGUGUGUUUAUAUUUUGGAUGAUCUAUAGCAGAGUCGCUCCAAUCGGAGAAGUCCUUGCAUUGCACAUUCACACACCCAGGAGUGUGUGUAUGUCUGAAUUUUGUAAUUUUGAUAACACAGAAUUGAGAGAAGCUAAAACGGCUGCAGCGGAUUAUCCGUUGUGUAUCCUCCAGAGUUCCUAUUCUCGUCCCUAAAACGAACCCGGCUGUCUAAUUGCUGCUGUGUGGUGGACAAAGUAUAAUGCUAUUAUUAUGUGAAUUGGUUGACGGCUCGUCGGGCUUGUUCAUACACAAGGAAUUGUGUACGG